rnacentral:tRNA from 1 species
GCCGGGGUGGCGGAAUUGGCAGACGCAGCAGACUCAAAAUCUGCCGGUAGUAAUAUCGUGUGGGUUCAAGUCCCACCCCCGGCA